CCUACGGGAGGCAGCAGUGGGGAAUUUUGGACAAUGGGCGAAAGCCUGAUCCAGCAAUGCCGCGUGAGUGAAGAAGGCCUUCGGGUUGUAAAGCUCUUUUGUCAGGGAAGAAACGGUGUUUUCUAAUACAGAAUGCUAAUGACGGUACCUGAAGAAUAAGCACCGGCUAACUACGUGCCAGCAGCCGCGGUAAUACGUAGGGUGCAAGCGUUAAUCGGAAUUACUGGGCGUAAAGCGUGCGCAGGCGGUUUUGUAAGUCUGACGUGAAAUCCCCGGGCUCAACCUGGGAAUUGCGUUGGAGACUGCAAGGCUAGAGUUUGGCAGAGGGGGGUAGAAUUCCACGUGUAGCAGUGAAAUGCGUAGAUAUGUGGAGGAACACCGAUGGCGAAGGCAGCCCCCUGGGUCAAGACUGACGCUCAUGCACGAAAGCGUGGGGAGCAAACAGGAUUAGAUACCCUGGUAGUCCACGCCCUAAACGAUGUCUACUAGUUGUCGGGUCUUAAUUGACUUGGUAACGCAGCUACGCGUGAGUAGACCGCCGUCGGGAGGUACGGUCGCGAGAUAAACUAACGAAGAAGUAGACGGCGUGAGAGUGCCGACGGACGACGACGACGGGAGGAGG
rnacentral:rRNA from 1 species